GAAGGAGAAGGUGGAAGGCCGGAAGGAUAAAGGGCCUGGGAGCUGUGCCUGCCACUUGAAGAGAGCUCCCCUCAUAAAAUAGAAUUGGCCAGAACCGAGUCACUGGGCCAGCCACGAAGCAAAGGGAUUCUGAGAAGGACAGUCCUCUGGAAGAAGCAGCAGUGUCUCACAAGGCAGUGGCGAAUCUAAGAAGUUACCAGCUCUUCUGAGACUGCUAUGGACCCUGGUCUACAGGUGUUUUCCUGUUGAUGGUCACCCUAAGAAGACAGAUCUAAGCUUAACGGGCCUAUUGAAGGGCCUGUAUUGGGAGGAAAUAGGGCUCUGCAGAGAAGCCUAGGAAGCUGGGAUCAGGUGGGGCUGA